ensembl:lincRNA
AGUGGUUCAUCAUACAUAAAAGAAAAAACAAAUUUAAUCUGUAAGAGUACAUUAUCUUUAAUUUUCUUAAGUCAAAAACAGUUUACAUAUUAGCAUCAGUGUAAACAUCCUCUCUGACGUCACAAUGUUAAGACUUCUGUUGCCUUGGUCCCAUCUCAUUCUGACCCUGGGCUCAUUGGCCCUUAUAAUUUAAUCUGAACAAUGGAACCGGAGACAUCAGCAGUGUCCAGGCUCUCUGAUGAUCUUCAUCCUUCGCCAGUGGCAAUUCAUGAAUUAAAUACAGAGUUUUCUGAGGAAAGUACAAUAUACUCAGACCUCAAAGUUCAUUGUUCUUCAAAUACCCAGAAUGGAAAAAUAACUAAAACUUCGAAAACAAAAGUGUCUCCGUGGUGCAUUGCUGCUGUGAUAUUUGCCUUCCUUUAUAUAAUCACUCUGGUAAUAGUUGCAGCUAUGGUAGCUAAGAUUCAUUGUCUUGAGGAGAGCCUGCAAAAGGCAGCCAUUGAGACUGCACAUUGCAAUAUAAUAUCACAAAACAAAGGUUGACAGCCUAAUGCACCAGGAUAGAAAUAAAGACAGAGAUCAGGACAGAAGUUGAAUUCCUAGGAAAUCUGAGCAUGACAGACAAGAUAUGUACAAUAAGUGAUCCUACCAGUUGGUCUUCGAGAAAACAAAAGGACUACUAUACUCCUCACUUUGUUAGAACUGAAAACCAUAAAGCUAGAGUGAUGGCAGCUCCUGUGAACUCCAAUGAAACCACAAAGGAAAUCAUUGGGUCAAGAAAUGCAUUACGAGCCACCGUGAGGCACGACCACCCUUCUGCUUUGCAGAGUUCAGAGUAAGAGUCCCUUCCUGUGUGAAAGGCGCUGACUGCUACAGCCUCCAGGACACCUUCUUACUGCAUAUGUGUGAUAAAUGUGAGAUUCAUUAUUUUGUUCUUUGUAGAAAAUUAAGUAUGAAAUAAUGUCUUACUUUUUUGUCAAGUCUUUUCAAGGUUGCUUCUCAAUAAAUUCUUUUUUAAAAAAUUGACGAUUUCCCCAAGAGUUUCUCCACUGGUUGCAAACCACAUCUUUAAUUUUCUUGGAAACAUUUUGAUAUUAUGAUUAAGGACACUAGUUUGAUACCAGAUAAGGCAAGAUAUUAGUUUGAGUUGUGUCACUUAUUAUAUUUAUAACUUUGGUCCAGUUGAAUUCCCUAAUCUACUUUUUCCACAUCUGUAAAAUGAAGGGGAUAAAAGUAUCCUCAUCACAAGGUUUUUCUAGGGAUUGAAUGAGAAAACAUUGUUAACUGUUGUUAUUGUUUCUUGUGUCUUCUUUGUUUGCAAUUCAAUAGUCUUUCUCCUUUGGUGCAGUUUUACGAUUUCUUUUUCUUUCAUGAAAUACCUUAUUUAUAAAAUCCUCAUAAUGUGGCAGAAUCAAGGACCGCCUCAGCUGUUUAUUAUAAGGGAUGUUAGGAACUCCCCUGUGCCCUCUUAAGCCUAAUUUAGACUCUCCCCCACUGGUUGGCUGAUGCCAAUGACUCCAUACUUGGAAAUACAUUUACAUUGUUUAUGGGUGGAAUAUUAGAGGACACAUUAUCCGUCAUGUAUAGCUUAUUGUAUGUGAGUUUAUACCUGAAUAAUUAUAGAUGCAAAUGGAAUCAAAAUUGGUAUUUUCAAGUGUGAACGUGUUAAAAUCUCCACUGUAACAGAAUGGUAAUGAUGUUCUAUCUAAGCAUAUGGCUCAAAGAAAAACAAAAAGUGCAAUCAUCAAGCAGAAAGUAUAUUUAUGGCCAGGCACGGUGGCUCAUGCCUGUAAUCCCAACACAUUGGGAGGCCAAGGUGGGCAGAUCACCUGAGGUCAGGAGUUCAAGACCAGCCUAGACAACAUGGUGAAACCCCAUCUCUACUAAAAAUACAAAAAUUAGCUGGGUGUGGUGGCAGGCACCUGUAAUCUCAGCUACUUAGGAGGCUGAGGCAGAAGAAUCACUUGAACCCAGGAGGCGGAGGUUGCAGUGAGCCGAGAUCAUACCAUUGCACUCCAGCCUGGGCAACAGAGUGAGACUCUGAAAAAAAAAAAGAAAGAAAAGAAAAAAAGAAGGAAGGAAGGAAGGAAGGAGGGAAGGAGGGAGGGAGGGAGAGAGGGAAGGAAGGAAGGAAGGAAGAAAGGAAGGAAGGAAGGAAAGAAGGAAGGAAGAGAAAUACAUCUAUAUAUAACUCAUUUCACACAAUAAAAUACACAUAAAAAUAAAAUCUUAAGAAGUUUAUUGGUGUCAAUAAAGCAGACAAAACGUACUUAUCAUUACCAUAAUUGUUUUCAACACAAUAUUGUUUUCUGUGUCAUAAAGAACCAUAGUCAUGUACCAUUUUUUUAAAAAGAGUGCCUCUCUAUGUCUCCAAUAUUUUCUUCAUAGCUUCUGAUGCUGAUUAUUCAGAGAUUUUUGAUACUGAUUUCUUGAUCUGUAAAAGUCUCAUAGACUUUUUUUUAAAAACAGGAUUAGAAAAAUUGUGGGGGACAAAAACAGGAUCAGAGGAUUUCCAUUCCAUCCUGUGAUGGUGUCUAAAUGAUGUGAUGAGCAAAACAUGCAGGACCAACAAUGUACAUAACUUCACUGAAGUAGUGACAUUAGCACCAGUGACAAUCACGGUCAGGCAUAUGCACAUUGCAACUGUCUCCUGGCCAACAGUGAUUGUAAGACUUCAUAUAUUUUGAGAGGCAUGCUAAUUUCAGAGACAUUAAAAUGUAAAAAAACAAUAUGUAUUAGUGCUAUAGGGACAUCCCCAAGACUAGGUAAUUUAUAAAGGAAAGAGGUUUAAUUGACUCAGAGCUCUGCAUGGCUGGAGAGGCCUCAAUCAUGGCAGAAGGGGAAGCAAACACGUCCCUCUUCGCUGGGUGGCCAGGACAGAAAUGCCAAGUAGAGGGAGAAAAGCCACUUAUAAAACCAUCAGAUGUUAUGAGAAUCACUCACUAUCAUGAGAAUUGCAUGGGUGUAACUGCUCCCAUGAUUCAAUUACCUUCCCACUCAGUCCCUCCCAUGACUCGUGGGGACUAGAGGAACUUCAAUUCAAGAUGAGAUUUGCUUGGGGACAGAGCCAAACUAUACCACAAUGUAUCUUAGACUCACUGAAUUAAAGAAAAAAAAAUAUGAAAGUGAAGCAAACUCUAUUAUAAAAAUGAAUAAGUCUUAAAAACAUGCACAAAAUACUGUAUCAAGCCUAAGAUUGAAAGGUAUUAAAUUUUCUAAAAAUGUUAUACAGAACUUAGCACAUCUACUUACACAAAAAGUGUAAGUAUAUAAAAAUUUAAUACAUCUACUUGGAUAAGAUGUUUGAAAAAAUGAAUUAUAAAUGUUAACCAACUAAUUAAAUCACAUUCCAAUAAAUUGUUCUCAGGACUUAGAUGAUAUUAGAAAUAUAAAAACUCAGACAGUAUGAUAAAGGCUAAACAAAUUACAAAUGUAAUUGAUGUUAGCUCAGUAGAAGUAUGUGGACAAUGCAGCAUCAUGGAAAAUAUUAUUGAUAUAAAUAGAAAUUCCCCCCUGAGGUCAGGAGUUCAAGACCAGUCUGGCCAACAUGGUGAAACCCCAUUUCUACUAAAAAUACAAAAAUAGGUCAGGCGUGGUGGUGCAGGCCCGUAAUCCAAGCUACUCGAGAGGCUAAGGCAGGAGAAUCACUUGAACCCAGGAGGCGGAGGUUGCAGUGAGCCGAAAUCGUGCCACGGCACUCCAGACUGGGAAACAGAGCAAGACUCUAUCAAAGGAAAGAAAGAAAGAAAGAGAGAAAGAGAGAGAGAGAAAGAGAUAAAAGAAAUUCCCUACUCCUUCAGACUAAGAAAUAUCUGCUGAUUCUCCAUUUAAUGGGACUAUGAAGAAAGACUUCAAUGUGGUUCCUUAUUUGAAUUCAGUCCAACAGAUGUGAAAUAUCUAAACACAGCCAAAACAAAUGAAAACAUCUCACAUCAACAAUCCUAAAAAAUAAAAAUUAUUUGCACAUUAUAGGAAUGAUUUGAUAAAUGACAUGUUGUUCAAUAUUCCAUUUGGUCAAUAGUUUUUUGGUAUAUCAUUACAGAAUAAAAUAGAAUAUGCAUUUUAAUUUUAUCCACAGAAUAAUAUUGUAUGCUAACAUAUAUUGCUAUACACCGUAGUGUAAAUUCAAAUUUUGUAGAUAUGUCGAAGAGUUUUCUCAGCCAAUUCACAAAUCAUGUUUCCUACACGAUCUCGUGAAGCAAUCGCUCUGUUGAAGCAAGAGGAUAAUUCUGAACUGCAUAAGAGCCUGUUAUACGCACUUCAACUAUAUCAUUUAUUACAUUGCACUGUCAUUGAUGUUUAUUAGUAUGUCCAAUGGAGUUCCUUAAAAAAUGCAGUAUAUAUUCAUAAUUUUAAUACCAUGUAAUUUUAUGUUUACUAGUAUAUAAUAAAGAUAAAAUGUGUAUAUAUGGAAUGAAAAAAAUCCCCACAAUUUCUACAUUCAGACUGUAGUGACAAAUUUGCACUUAUCUCUUUCCAGUCAGAGGUUUCUACACACAGAGAACCAAGAAAGGAGGGAGCAAUAUACAAUUAAGUAGGACAACUUAAUAUAAAUUCAACUUUACAUAAAUCCUAGGGAAAUUAUAAAAUUUGCCCUCUCAAUGAAAAUGCUGUCAUGAGAUGAAAUGCACUAUAUUUUAAAAUAUCAUAACAUUUCAAACAAACAAACAAAUGCUUCUUUUUAAAGUAAAUUGGCCAGGCGUGGUAGCUCACAUCUGUAAUCCCAGCACAUUGGGAGGCUGAGGCAGGAGGAUCACUUGAGUCUGGAGUCCGAGGUUACAGUAAGCUGUGAUAAUGCCACUGCACUUCAACCUGGUUGACAGAGUAAGACUUUUCCUCCAAAAUAGAAUAAAAUAAAUGUUUCUUAAGGGAAAGAAAACAUGGAAAGAGAGAAACUAUAAUAGGAAAUAAAGUACACAUUGAAAGCAUGGCAACACUUCCAAAAGUACUUUGACUGUCGUGGAAGUUGGCAUGUUUAAUUUAAUCAUACAUCAUGAUCUGCAUUUUGGCUCAGUGAGGACAGGUAGACAGUACACAGAAAGACAAAUACAUUUACAGAAAGUAAUGAUUAAAUAAUCAAUAUACAUUAGUAUGUCCAGGUGUAUUUAAAUAGCUAAAUUCAAACAGAGAGUUAAAAAUUACUGGAAAAUUGAGGUAAAAAUAAACCAGAUUUUCAUGUAUUUAUAUAUAAGUGUAUAUAUACACAGUAUUUAUAUAUAUACUGACUACUGUAUAUAUAUACACUGUGUGUGUAUAUAUAUGUGUGUGUGUAUAUAUGUCCAUUUCAG